GGCUAUGUGCCUGAAAGAUAAGGUCCACUUUGAUAGAGUGAACAAUAGGGGUUCAAACCCCCUCAUAUCCU
rnacentral:tRNA from 1 species